rnacentral:rRNA from 1 species
AGCCUGAACGCGUGGCGGCGUGGCUAAGACAUGCAAGUCGAACGGUGUAGCAAUACACAGUGGCGAACGGGUGAGUAAUGUAUCGCUAACGUACCCUUCAGUCAGGGAUAGCCGGGGGAAACUCCGGGUAAUACCUGGUGAAAUUCUUUUCUCGCAUGGGAGAAGACUCAAAGGAGCAAUCCGCUGAGGGAGCGGGC